rnacentral:rRNA from 1 species
AGGACGAACGCUGGCGGCGUGCUUAACACAUGCAAGUCGAGCGGAAAGGCCUUUCGGGGUACUCGAGCGGCGAACGGGUGAGUAACACGUGAGUAAUCUGCCCAUCGCUUCAGGAUAGCCAUCGGAAACGGUGAUUAAUACUGGAUAUGACAUUCCUUCGCAUGUUGGGGUGUGGAAGGUUUUUUCGGCGGUGGAUGUGCUCGCGGCCUAUCAGCUUGUUGGUGGGGUAAUGGCCUACCAAGGCUUUGACGGGUAGCCGGCCUGAGAGGGUGACCGGCCACACUGGGACUGAGACACGGCCCAGACUCCUACGGGAAGCAGCAGUGGGGAAUAUUGGACAAUGGGCGGAAGCCUGAUCCAGCAACGCCGCGUGAGGGAUGACGGCCUUCGGGUUGUAAAGGCUCUUUUACCCGAGAUGAUAAUGACAGUAUCGGGAGAAUAAAGCCCCGGCUAACUCCGUGCCAAGCAGCCGC